AGCUUUACAAAUCCGUGCUGAAAUUUCGUCAGACACCAACCCAUUAGGGCUGAUCAGGGUUCCAAGGUAAGUGAAGUU
rnacentral:pre_miRNA from 1 species